UACGGAGGGUGCAAGCGUUGUUCGGAAUCACUGGGCGUAAAGGGCGUGUAGGCGGUCCGCUAAGUCUGAUGUGAAAGCCCGGGGCUCACCCCCGGAAGGGCAUUGGAAACUGGCGGACUCGAGUCCCGGAGAGGAAGGUGGAAUUCCUGGUGUAGCGGUGAAAUGCGUAGAUAUCAGGAGGAAUACCGGUGGCGAAGGCGGCCUUCUGGACGGUGACUGACGCUGAGACGCGACAGCGUGGGGAGCAAACAGG
rnacentral:rRNA from 1 species